ensembl:scaRNA
GGUCUGUGAUGAAUAGUAAAAGGUCUGAUUAUCCCAAGACAUGCAGUUCCAUGCCCUCUUCUCCCAGCAGUUUCUCCCCAGCCACGGCACAGCAAUGGUGUGGCUGGCAGAGUGUUUGCUGACAGUGUGAGAUGUGCUCAGGUCAUGUUCACCUGGAGCAGCGGAGACAUGACUGAGAUCAGCAUCCAACAGUCCUGCUUGAAGGAGUUUUGGGGUCUUGGAUUGGUCUAACUGGACAUGUGAUCUGACUUUUCUGCUGAGACC